AUACUCUGGACUGAUUGAACACUGUCUUGACUCUUCUAUAAUGACUACAGCAAGAGCAGAAUGGCUUCAGGGAACACAUUCAGCCAAACCCCCCCAAAAGGCUUCCCUGGGGUGAAACAAAUGCCUUUGAGAUUUAACUCAGGUGGAAUGGGUGCUUCAUUAGGUGCUGGGAAAAAAUCUACCAAUAGGCACCAAGGAUUGAAUCCCCUGGAACCACAUACAGUUGGCAGCAAAAUUUUGUCACAGAUCCAGUUGAGAAAGAAAGCACAUUCCCCGACAGGAAAAUAUAAAUCAUGUAUGAAAUCAGCUAAAGAACAUUUUGGAUAUCAUUCAGCAGAUUAUAUUCUUUGUCUUGUUCCAUUUCUCUUCAAGUGGGUGACGGAUCGCAUCCCGCCAGCUGGCUAA
rnacentral:lncRNA from 1 species